AUGGCCCCUGCCUGGGAAGGACUGUCCGGGGUGGGGCCUCUGUGUGCCUCCAGCCUCUUUCCUGCAUCCAGGUUGAGCUGAUUGCUCGGGAGGAUACAGGGUGUCCUAUCCCAGGGGGAUGUGGAGCAAGCACGUGGUGUCUCUGUAGCACAGCUGUCCUGGGUCCGGGGCAGUGUACCUGCCUUCCUGGAGCCCAGGUCACACGGCUGUCUGUCACCACCUGCUGUCCUGUCCCACGUGGGGAGAGACGGGCAGGGGUCUGUGCUGCACGCACGUGCCCACCGCCCAGGACCUGAGUCCCUCCCCGCAGGGCCUCGGUGUGGUUUCUAGUUUCUCUGCAGGCCCUGGCACUGGGUGGCUUUAAGCUGCUGCUCACAUGUCUCAAAUGUACCUUGUAAGUCACAGAGCCACCUUCACACCAGCUGCACACAACCUUGUUUGCUUGUUCCUGGGGCUUAAACCUAACUAGCCGUGUUGUGCUAAGUUGCAGAGUUCAGUAUUUACACUAAAGCAGCUUCUUUUCAGCAAGCUGUGUUGCUUGCACAGAAUAUCUACCAAGUGUUUACACUCAGAUGAGUGAUGAGCUGGGCUGGGCCCCGUGUCCCUUCAAUGACAAUCAGUGAUAAGAGACUUCUUCUAUCACAGCCCUGCUUCCAAACCAUGUGUAGUCCCAGCUGGCUUUCCUGCCUGUGGCCGCACCUGCUCAGCCUCUGCUGCUUAGCUCCUCUGUCUCCUAAGGUUGCUAAACCCACUCUUGACUUUACAUUACAUGUUAAACAUAAAAAAUUAGAAGAGCUCUUUCUCUGUUUACCUAAGGCAAAGCUGCCUGAACCCCGAUGCCCACCGCGACCUUUGGCAGAAGUGCACGUGGGCAGAGACACCCAGAUAUAAGGUUCCUUCAGGGCGGAGGUUCUGUGUUUGUCUGCAAGUCUAACUCGUUACUUCCCCUUUGCUGACCGCAGCUUGUCCCCUUCCCAAGCCCUUCUCCACUAUACCCCCAGGUCCCGCUUCCCCUGUAUCUGGAAAAGCCUGCUCACAGUGCAGCAGGAUGGACCCUGACUCCAGGCUCCUCACCCAGCCUUGGCCUUGCCCCAGAGCUCACGGUGGGUGCUGGUGCGGGGAGCGGGGUGUGGUAUGGGGUAAGCAUCCAGCUCUCCUCUUCUAGAUCAAAGGCCUGGCAGCAAACUUUACCCCAUUGGCCAGAGCAACAUCAGCAAGGCAGGCAGAGAUGCACAGCUGGUGGCUGCAUCUGCAGAGCUGAGAACAACUGGGUCUUGGUCACACUCAGGCCGAGGAAGACUCUUGAGGAGACGCCACACCUCCUUCCAGCCUGACGCAGACAAGGAGCUGAAAGGAGAUCUCUGAGAUCCUGCUGCUGCCAUGAACCCAGAAGACCUCCGGGACUGCUCAGGGCAUCACCACAGAGGCUGUUUCCUCCAACUCUCGCCCUGCCGCCUGCCCAGCUGCUCUGCAAGGAUCACAGACCCUGAAGUGAACCCCAGUCUGGCCUUGUCGUCUCCCCCUUGUGUGACUGGAGCA